rnacentral:lncRNA from 1 species
CUAAAGUGCACCGAGUUUCCUUCCAGGAUGAUGAUUUCACAAGUCUGUGGACUAUAAAUAUACUCCAAACCUUUUAAGAGUUAGGGAGUGACUUGCACAGUAUGUGAUAAUCACUCAGUAAAGCUGUUUCCAGGCUGAGGAUGUGGCCCAGUGGCAGAGUAGCUUGCCUAGCAUGCAUGGGGCUUUGGGUUCAUCCUCAGAACCUCAGAGAGAGGGAGACAGAGGGGGAGAAGGGGACAGAGAGAGAGAGAGAGAAAGAAGAAGGAAGAGGAGGAGGAGGUAAAGUGCCACACUGCUUUGCUAGAGUCAAGGAACCAACCCCUGCAAGCCGGCAGCCAUUCGAGAAACAAUGGCAUGCAAGUGGAUGAGGACGCAAGAGGAAUCCAAGGCAAAGCUUUGCCUGCGACGCCCGCCGGGAACCGGCAGUGCCGCCCACCUCCACACCCAGCUCUGAGGCGUAACACCCAGGAAUGGGUG